AACGAACGCUGGCGGCAGGCUUAACACAUGCAAGUCGAGCGCCCCGCAAGGGGAGCGGCAGACGGGUGAGUAACGCGUGGGAAUCUACCCAUCUCUACGGAAUAACGCAUGGAAACGUGUGCUAAUACCGUAUACGCCCUUCGGGAGACAGAUUUAUCGGAGAUGGAUGAGCCCGCGUUGGAUUAGCUAGUUGGUGGGGUAAAGGCCUACCAAGGCGACGAUCCAUAGCUGGUCUGAGAGGAUGAUCAGCCACACUGGGACUGAGACACGGCCCAGACUCCUACGGGAGGCAGCAGUGGGGAAUAUUGGACAAUGGGCGCAAGCCUGAUCCAGCCAUGCCGCGUGAGUGAUGAAGGCCCUAGGGUUGUAAAGCUCUUUCACCGGUGAAGAUAAUGACGGUAACCGGAGAAGAAGCCCCGGCUAACUUCGUGCCAGCAGCCGCAGUAAGAC
rnacentral:rRNA from 1 species